AUGUAGAAGGCAGCUGGUAUUGAAGAGGAUGGUUUCGUGAAUGUCUAAGAUGUGGCGAAUCAGUGGAAAAGAUGAAUUAAAUGUGAGAAACGUAGAUGGUUUAGGAAACGCUUAAAUGUCAUGAGAAGAGAGAUUACAGCAAGAAGAUGGAGGACUGUCCUAUUUGUCAGAAAAACAUAGAAGAUUGUGAUACACCCACUGUGCGUCUUGGAGAGAAAGGCUGUACUGGAAUUAUCAGUGCCAACAGCAGAAAUGAACGUCCGGUGGAGGUGAAACCUGGGGAUAUAGUCCACACUCAAUGUCGGAAAGACUUUACAAGACCUCGAAAAAACUCGAAAGCAUUGACACCUAUCAUUGUUUCUCCCCCAAGAGUUCUUAGAUCUGACACUGAACAAUUUGAUUUUAAAUCAAAAUGCUUAUUUUGUGCUUCAUUUGCUAAAUGUUCUUCAUUUUCAAGAAAAAGAUCGCAUGAUGUCUAUCUCGUUCGUAGCUUUGAUUUUCAAAAUAAAAUUCUGUAACAUUGUGUGGAAAGAAAUGACAAAUGGGUAAAUGAAAUUCAUUCCAGGUUGAUUCAAGUGCUGGACCUCCCGGCAGCAGAGGCAGUGUAUCACCAAUCAUGUAGUGUGAAUUUUAGGACAGGUAAAAAUGUCCCAAAAGCCUUUAAUUCAAUUGACCAAGGUCCGAUUGCAAAGGAAAUGAAAUCUCCUGGUAGACCACAGGCAACAGAUCAGGCAAUGGCUUUUAAACAAAUAAUUGAAACAAUUGAAACUUGCGAAAAUGCAACACUGACUGUCAAUGAAUUGGUAAGGCAAAUGUCGGAAAUAUGUGGUGAUAAUUGCUAUUCAUCUAAGCAUAUGAAAAAGAAGAUAUUAGAUCACUUUGGCGAGUCAGUGAUUGUAAGCAGCAUUGGUGGAAAA